rnacentral:rRNA from 1 species
GACGAACGCUGGCGGCGUGCUUAACACAUGCAAGUCGAGCGGUAAGGCCCUUUCGGGGGUACACGAGCGGCGAACGGGUAAGUAACACGUGGGUGACCUGCCCUCAGCUCUGGGAUAAGCCUGGGAAACCGGGUCUAAUACUGGAUAUGACUCCAUGACGCAUGUUGUGGGGUGGAAAGCCUUGUGCGGCUGAGGAUGGGCCCGCGGCCUAUCAGCUUGUUGGUGGGGUGAUGGCCUACCAAGGCGACGACGGGUAGCCGGCCUGAGAGGCGACCGGCCACACUGGGACUGAGACACGGCCCAGACUCCUACGGGAGGCAGCAGUGGGGAAUCUUGCGCAAGUGGGCGAAAGCCU